rnacentral:rRNA from 1 species
GGUUUGAUCCUGGAUCAGGAUGAACGCUAGCGGCAGGCCUAAUACAUGCAAGUCGAACGAGCUCAGAGACUUCGGUUUCUGGGUUAGUGGCGCACGGGUGCGUAACGCGUAUGCAACCUACCUUCCACAGGGGGAUAGCCCACCGAAAGGUGGAUUAAUACCGCAUAAGACCACAGCCUGGCAUCAGGCAGUGCUCAAAGAUUUAUCGGUGGAAGAUGGGCAUGCGUGCCAUUAGCUAGAUGGUGUGGGUAACGGCCCACCAUGGCGACGAUGGCUAGGGGUUCUGAGAGGAUGGUCCCCCACACUGGUACUGAGACACGGACCAGACUCCUACGGGAGGCAGCAGUAGGGAAUAUUGGGCAAUGGAAGAGAUUCUGACCCAGCCAUGCCGCGUGCAGGAAGAAGGCCUUCUGGGUUGUAAACUGCUUUUAUCAGGGAAGAAAACGCUCCUGCGGGAGUAACUGACGGUACCUGAUGAAUAAGCACCGGCUAACUCCGUGCCAGCAGCCGCGGUAAUACGGAGGGUGCAAGCGUUGUCCGGAUUUAUUGGGUUUAAAGGGUGCGUAGGCGGCCCGUUAAGUCAGCGGUGAAAUCCCAGGGCUCAACCCUGGAACUGCCGUUGAUACUGGCGGGCUUGAGUUCGGUCGAGGCGGGCGGAACUGGUGGUGUAGCGGUGAAAUGCAUAGAUACCACCAAGAACCCCGAUUGCGUAGGCAGCUCGCUAGGCCGAAACUGACGCUGAGGCACGAAAGCGUGGGGAGCGAACAGGAUUAGAUACCCUGGUAGUCCACGCCGUAAACGAUGAGUACUCGAUGUUGGCGAUACACAGCCAGCGUCCAAGCGAAAGCGUUAAGUAC